CUGCGCUGUCCCUGCCAGAAUGGGGGCUCCUGCCACCACAUCACAGGAGAGUGUGCCUGCCCCCCAGGCUGGACGGGAGCAGUGUGUGCCCAGCCCUGCCCACCCGGGACGUUCGGCCAGAACUGCAGCCAGGACUGUCCUUGCCACCACGGAGGGCAGUGUGAUCAUGUGACCGGGCAGUGCCACUGCCCAGCUGGCUACAUGGGGGACAGGUGCCAAGAGGAAUGCCCCUUCGGGACCUUCGGCUUCCAGUGCUCACAGCGCUGUGACUGCCACAACGGGGGUCAGUGCUCGCCCACCACAGGAGCCUGCAAGUGUGAGCCUGGCUACAAGGGCCCGCGCUGCCAGGAGCGGCUGUGCCCCGAGGGACUGCACGGCCCCGGCUGCACCUUGCCUUGCCCCUGUCAGGCCGA